rnacentral:rRNA from 1 species
UGGGGAAUAUUGGACAAUGGGCGCAAGCCUGAUCCAGCAAUGCCGCGUGUGUGAAGAAGGUCUUCGGAUUGUAAAGCACUUUCGACGGGGACGAUGAUGACGGUACCCGUAGAAGAAGCCCCGGCUAACUUCGUGCCAGCAGCCGCGGUAAUACGAAGGGGGCUAGCGUUGCUCGGAAUGACUGGGCGUAAAGGGCGCGUAGGCGGUUUGUACAGUUGGGCGUGAAAUUCCUGGGCUUAACCUGGGGGCUGCGUUCAAUACGUGCGGACUUGAGUUCGGAAGAGGGUCGUGGAAUUCCCAGUGUAGAGGUGAAAUUCGUAGAUAUUGGGAAGAACACCGGUGGCGAAGGCGGCGACCUGGUCCGAUACUGACGCUGAGGCGCGAAAGCGUGGGGAGCAAACAGGAUUAGAUACCCCCGUAGUCC